UACGUAGGGACCGAGCGUUGUCCGGAAUCAUUGGGCGUAAAGAGCGUGUAGGCGGCUUGUUAAGUCUUGCGUGAAAUCUCGGGGCUCAACCCCGAGCGGUCGUGAGAAACUGGCAGGCUAGAGUGCGGGAGAGGAGAGUGGAAUUCCUGGUGUAGCGGUGAAAUGCGUAGAUAUCAGGAGGAAUACCGAUGGCGAAGGCAGGUCUCUGGGCUGACACUGACGCUCAUGCACGAAAGCGUGGGGAGCAAACAGG
rnacentral:rRNA from 1 species